AUCUGGGUGUCAGGUGUCUGGGUGUCAGACGUCUGGGUAUCUGGGUGUCCGGUGUUUGGGUUUCCAGGUAUCUGGGUGUAUGGGUGUCUGAGUGUCAGGUGUCUGAGUGUCCAGGUGUCCAGGUGUCUGGGUGUCAGGUGUCUGAGUGUCUGGGUAUCUGACUGUCUGGGUGCCAGGUGUCUGGGUGUCUGGGUGCCAGGUGUCUGGGUGUCCAAGUAUCUGGGUGUCAGGUGUCUGGGUG
rnacentral:lncRNA from 1 species